UACAGAGGUCCCAAGCGUUGUUCGGAUUCACUGGGCGUAAAGGGUGCGUAGGUGGUGAGGUAAGUCGGAUGUGAAAGCUCGGAGCUCAACUCCGAAAUGGCAUUGGAAACUACCUUGCUCGAGGGUUGGAGGGGGACUGGAAUACUUGGUGGUAGCAGUGAAAUGCGUAGAUAUCAAGUGGAACACCAGUGGCGAAGGCGAGUCCCUGGACAACUCCUGACACUGAGGCACGAAAGCUAGGGAGCAAACAGG
rnacentral:rRNA from 1 species